CAAGUUUCUGGCGCCACAGCCUCGCCAUGUUGCACAGACAGCCUCCUCGCUCGCGACCUUACUUGUGGAGGACCCCUCCCGCUGCGAGUGCCCCCGUCAAGCCUGUCGGACUACUCUUCCUCAGGUGAUUGAUCCAGUGCUGUCUGAAUAACUGGCUUCUUGGGAAAUCAAAGUAAAGGAGUAAACUUCAUGUGCUUCUGCCCUGUAAAAACCAUGGAAGUAUGUUGACGGCAUUCAAGAGGAAUGUCAAAGAAAUGGCCACAUCAAACAAACAGAUCAAUCAGGAUUGGAAAGAAAAAGCCAAAAAUAAGUGAAAGAGACACAGCAAGAGAAGGAACAGAAGCAGGCGAGUGGAAGCGGGAGAAGCAGGCUUCCUGCUGAGCAGGGAUCCUGAUGCAAGGCUUGAUCCCAGAACCCUGGGAUCAUGACCCAAGCUGAAGGCAGAUACCUAACUGACUGAGCCACCCUGGCGCCACAAACAAGAGCAUUUUAAAGGCCCCAAUGUAUUCUAUAAUUAGUCCUAUCCUUAACCAGAAUGGUUUACUCUUAACCAAACUAUAAUUUCUAGGGAAUGGGGCAAGCAAUGCAUACUGGGUUGGUUAUAUGAGUAUUUUAUAAGUUGCAAGUGAAUACAAUACAUUUAUAGAACUGACCUAUAAGGAAAGAAGAACAUUAGAGAAAGAAUCGGAAAACACAAGUUCUAGUCCUGGCUCUGUUGCUACCUAAUCAAGUCACUUAACCUCUUUUAGCCUCAAUUUUCCUUCUAUAAUACAACUCCUAAAAAUAAGUCCCGUGCUUUGAGCUAAAAAACAGAAAACAAAAACAAAACAAAAAACUACAACAUAUGUGAAAACUGCUCUAUAAAACUAUAACAUGGACUAUAAACAUUUUCCUAGAAUAUAAAUCUUUAUCUCAGCUAGCUUUUCUUUAGGACAGGAAUGGACACUGCUAGUAAUUUGGUACCACACUUUCAAUUACAUGUUUUAUUUUGCAAAGUAAAAGGGCCUUCUAUCAAAACAUCUUAUUUAAAAUCAUAUUCUAUGUGUUCUGGAGCAGGGGGACCAGGAGGGAGCUGCAGUUGGAGGGGAGGGGAAAAUGGAGGGGAAAUGUUUUCUUUUGGAAGACAGUUUUGGCAGCGAAGAAGCACCCUCUAUUCCCAGACUCUCUUCAAUCUGGUAUGUCGAAAGAGUUAAGACCCAGAGAAAAGCAGAAGGAUCAGUACCGUUCAUUAAUAAAACUGAAUGUAUGAUGAUUGCUCAAAGCAUGCUGCUGAAAUUCCAAGCUGUCAAUACAGAAAUAGUGGUUAAAGGACCCAGAAAGAUCAUUCAUCUGUUGCCGGAGAAAAAAGGACCUGCAGAUCCAGAGUUAAGACAAAAGGAGGUGGAGUAAGAAAAGUAAAGGUAAUUCUCUCUAGGAUCCUAACGAUUCACCAUUAAAAAUCAUAUGUAAUGAAGUACCCUGGACUGGAUCUUAGAACAGAAAAAGGAAAUCUGUAGGAAAGCAUACAAAAGCCACAAAAAGUUUGGGAUUUACUUAGUAGUAUACCAAUGUUAACCUCUUAGUUUUGACAAACGUACCAGAAUUAUAUAAGAAGCUAACAUAGGGCAACUGGGUGAAGAGUAUACGGGAACUCGCUAUACUAUCUGUGACUUUUUUGUAAGCGUAAAGUUAUUGUAAAAUAAAAAGCUUAUUUAAAAAAAAAAACAACCAUGGAUUUGCUCUCCCUUCAGAAAAUUUAUGCAUCAAUUACUAAAAUCUUUUAAGGGUCAGGUUUUUCAAACUGAAAUGUUACCAUCUACUGGACAGAAGGAAAUUAUGGAUUCAUUCCUAUACAUGACUAAUUAUUAAUAAUAAUAAUGGGGCUUCUAAUAAAUUCAAAAUAUAAAACGAUUGUGGCAUAAACAAAUAGAAUGAACCACAAUGUAAUCCUGAAGAGAAAAAUUCCUAAUUCUAAAAUUGCACAUACGAGGAGUCCCUGAGUGGCUCAGUGGGUUAAGUGACUGACUUCAGCUUGGUCAUGAUCUCAGGGUUGUGAGAUCAAGCCCUCCUCUGGGUUCCCCACUCAGGGGGGAGUCUGCUUCCCUUCUCCCUCUGUUCUUCCCCCAACUUAUGUGCUCAUUCUCUCUCUCUCUCUCUGAAAUAAACAAAUAAAUCUUAAAAAAAUAAAAAAUAAAAUCACACAUGCAAAACACCACCUAUGAGAUAUCAAGUUGGAUUGUUUUAUCAAUAUCCUCAAUUAUUCAACCCUUUCACAAUCCUAUAAAUUUCUCUUCUACCUACCUCUGUAUGUAUUGUAUAAACAUGAGUUAAGUGAUCUCUCAAAUAAUCUGCUUUAGAUAUCAGAAGUAAUACCAAAAAAUGAUAAAUAUUAUCUAUUUAACCUGAAUACUCACAGACCUUCAGGCAGAGAGAUCAGAUAUCUCUCUGGGGUGGCAAAUGUAGGCUACUUGUAUAUCUAUCCUGACAUGUAUUUACAAAGGAUAAGCUAAUGAAAAUCUAACUU